GAGCGUCUGCUAAAUGACUAAUUAUUUAUUUAUUUAUACUAUAGACAGUCUGGUCUCAUAGACUAGAUGCACUGUGUCACUUUGUAGACAGUCUGGUCUCAUUGACUAGAUGCACGGUGUCACUUUGUAGACAGAGAACACAUCUACAUCUUAUUGGACUUGGAGGAGGGUUGUGGAGGGUCCAAAUAAUUUAAAAAAUAUAUACUAAUAAAACAUAAAUACUAUAUAUACAUACUAUAGACAGUCUGGUCUCAUAGACUAGAUGCAAGGUGUCACUUUGGUGGGUUGUGGAGGGUCCAAAUUAAAAAAAUACAAACAAAACAUCUAAAAAUGUCAUACAAAAUCUACAAAUUCAUCUUCAUUAUCCCCCAUGUUGCUCCACCUCUGCUUCUGGGAGGAUCCAAGUGGGGCCACAGAGCGGACUCCUCCAUCUCAUACCGCCAACUCUGUAAAUCCACCAGGCCCCACAAUGCAUCCUCCACACCAAUGCAGUAACAGCCAUAUCUUCAGGUCAGAAAGCUUCAGUACAAAAAUACUCCUCCAUCUCAUCCCACCAACUCUAUAAAUCCACCAGGCCCCACAAUGCAUCCUCCACACCACUGCAGUAACAGCCAUAUCUUCAGGUCACAAAGCUUCAGUACUAUCUGAAUGUGUUGAAUUACCAUCCAGCAUCCUGUGGCAACGUCAAUGUGAAACCGCAUUGGCCCGUGAUCACCACCAACCCGGCUCCAGAGCGGUAGCCAUGGACACCCACUCUUUGCUCAAGAUCAACGAAAGGAGAUUUGGAAGGAUCCCAGGAUGGCCUCCCGAGAGAGCACACCUGGCAGCAGAGAGCACUUUGAUGUGAUUGGCUGUUCAGCAGGAAGUUUCAUCUGGCUACACAGAAGAGAUGAUGGAUCUGACCGAUAAUGUUUUUUAUGGGAUGAUGUAUGAUUCUAAAUAAAAAAGUGUGAAAUGUA